UAAAAUUUCUCUUUUAUUUUGUUUAUAAUAAUCUCUAUUCAAACUCAAUUUAAUUAUUGUAAAUUUGAAGUAGAGUUAUAUAAUAUUAUACUGUUUUAUAUUGAAGAGUUUACUCUUAAGACAACAGAAGCAACAACCACUCAUCACUUUACAACAUUUACAACAUUCUUCAUCCCUUGCGUUUGCGCUUUCCAUCAAAGUAGAAACAACAACGAACAACACCAACAAUAGAAUCAUCAUCAUCUUCAUUGAA
rnacentral:lncRNA from 1 species